rnacentral:lncRNA from 1 species
AUAAAGAAAAUGAAACCUGGAGGAAGGAGUUUCUCAGGAUCAUAUGACUAGCAAAAAAUGGAGCCACAACAUGAAUUCAGAUCUUCUGAUUUCAUAUUCUUACUUUGGAAGAUAAGAUAUUCAGGAUGCUUACUGGGCAGAGGACAAAAGAAAGGUGUCCACAUCUCCAAUUCCCAUCAGAUGAGCUAUUUUAGAAACCUGCAGCAAGUCGGAUUUGGAGUUGAAAGGAAUGUUGGAGGCCAUCCAGUUGAAUCCUCUUAUUUUACAGCUGAGGAAACAGAGGCUCAGAGCUAA